rnacentral:sRNA from 1 species
AAGCAAGUAAUGGAAACGUGAAUUUCUUUUUCUUUUCUACAAAGCCUGCAAUGUCAUUUCUCAGACUCCAAAUGGAAAGUUUACCCUGGUAGUUCCACACCAGCAUCGAAACUGCAGCUUCUCCAUAAUUUAUCUGUGGUGAUCAAAAUAUCUGAUCUUACCCUGGGACACGUAAAUGGUCUUCAGUUAAAAGAAAUCCUCAGCAGGUUGCGAGGGAAUAGGAGACUUUGUGGAGCUGCUGGAGGAACUGGAUUGGACCCUUCCAAGAUGACGCCUUUAGCUGAUCUCUGCUACCCCUUUCAUGGCCCGGUUUGUUUAGGACCAGCCCAGAAUGCAAUCUUUCCUGUGUGGAAUGGAUGAGAUGAGAGAUGGAUGGGCCAGCCUUAGAAGCAAGAUCUAGACCUAUAGUAUGUCAACAGAAUGGAGAGGGAAGAACCAGACUUCAGGAACCCAAUGUAGAG